AACGAACGCUGGCGGCGUGCCUAAUACAUGCAAGUCGAGCGAAUCAAAGGGAGCUUGCUCCCUGAGGUUAGCGGCGGACGGGUGAGUAACACGUGGGCAACCUGCCUAUAAGACUGGGAUAACUUCGGGAAACCGGAGCUAAUACCGGAUAAUUCAUAUCUACUCAUGUAGAUAUGCUGAAAGACGGUUUACGCUGUCACUUAUAGAUGGGCCCGCGGCGCAUUAGCUAGUUGGUGAGGUAACGGCUCACCAAGGCGACGAUGCGUAGCCGACCUGAGAGGGUGAUCGGCCACACUGGGACUGAGACACGGCCCAGACUCCUACGGGAGGCAGCAGUAGGGAAUCUUCCGCAAUGGACGAAAGUCUGACGGAGCAACGCCGCGUGAGUGAUGAAGGUUUUCGGAUCGUAAAACUCUGUUAUUAGGGAAGAACAAGUACUAGAGUAACUGCUAGUACCUUGACGGUACCUAACCAGAAAGCCACGGCUAACUACGUGCCAGCCGCCGCCGUAACAC
rnacentral:rRNA from 1 species